UACGGGGGGGGCAAGCGUUGUUCGGAAUUACUGGGCGUAAAGGGCUCGUAGGCGGCCAACUAAGUCGGAUGUGAAAUCCCCAGGCUUAACCUGGGAACUGCAUCCGAUACUGGAUGGCUUGAAUCCGGGAGAGGGAUGCGGAAUUCCAGGUGUAGCGGUGAAAUGCGUAGAUAUCUGGAGGAACACCGGUGGCGAAGGCGGCAUCCUGGACCGGCAUUGACGCUGAGGUGCGAAAGCGUGGGGAGCAAACAGG
rnacentral:rRNA from 1 species